GGGGCAGUAGCUCAGUGGUAGAGCUCCCGAUUCAUAAGCGGGAAAGUCUGGGUUCGAUUCCAGGCUUCUUUC
rfam:Toxocara canis scaffold313, whole genome shotgun sequence.